rnacentral:lncRNA from 1 species
CAUCUAUCCCAGACGUAUUAACUUUCCAAGGUGGAAACCGCCACGGUAAUGAGUUGUCCCCGUUGAGCAGUUUUUGUGGCCAUCCAGGUAAGCGGGAGCACUCGGUCAGGGUAUUUUGGAUGAACUUGUCCUCUUGAGCUGGAGGUGAUGAAGGCAGACUUUGGAAGGGGGGUCAGAGCAGCAGUUCAUAGUGAUGAGGGCAGCAAAAGGAAAGAAGCACCCGUGGGUCUGUGACGGGAGCUCGGCCUUGUCCCUGAUGCCAAGCAAUGCCGGUUUAAUGAUGAGGCCAUGGUUUGAGAAAAAGGAAAAGCUUGUUUUAUUGCUUUGCUAGCAAAGGAGAAUCACAGGGGACUCCUGUCCCUGAGGCUGUGAUUGUGCCCAUUGGGAGGAAUGGGGGAUUUUAAAGGAAGUCUUCCAGGGUUGCAUUCCAGGUGUGCUCUGGUAAGGGGUCCCAGGGCACCCUGAUGGGGUGUUGGGAUUCACAUGUUAAUUUGGGAGAUAUUCACUUCCUAGAUCCUCUGGCAGACAUCUUCCUGUGCAGCACUAAUAAGUCUCCAUCAUCUUGUUCCCUGCCCCCAGGUUGGUGGGGGGGAGAGGGAGAAAAGGAAAAGGAAAACGUGUCCCUUUUGAAAAUAAGCCCCAGAUGGCCAGUGCAGUGGUGCACUCCUGUAAUCCCAGAGGCUCCGGAGGCUGAGGCAGGAGGAUUGCAAGUGCAAAGCCAGCCUCACAAAAGUGAGGCCCUAAGCAACUCGGAGACUCUGUCUCUAAAUAAAACAAAAAACAGAGCUGGGGACGGGGCUCAGUGGUCGAGGGCCUCUGGGUUCAAACCCCAAUACCAGAAAAAGAAAAAGAAAAAUCCUCAGAGCUAUAUUCAAAAGGUGAAGUGGGCCCCUGUUGCAGGUCUCAGGUUGAGGCAGAACAUACUUGUGACUGGCAGAGCUUUUUGUGAUAUUUAUCGGGCACUCCUGUGUAAAAACUCUUUCUUUAUGGCCUGACAGUUUUUACUGACUUUCAGGAAGACUGACACAAAUGUGCAUCUCAGGUAGAAGGGCCACUGUCUUGUCUUGUAAAUGUCCAUGUAUCGCUGCAUUUUGGUCAAACUCCCUUGCCAAGUGUUGGAGUCCAAAUUGGUCAAAAUGGACCCUUUUUCUGUCUCCUGUUAGAGUCAGCUGAGAUUUGUCAGGGAUCACUCUUGAGAACUUUUUAUAACAACAACAACAAAAAUCUAUCUUCUGAACACAACUUAAAGUGUUUCAUUUCUGAAUUUGAUCUUUGCCCCCUUUAAAAUAUCACUGCACCAAGGUCUCCACGUGUUCUCUCCUGAGUCCAUCUGAACAUCAGUCCACGACCCAACGCUACACCAGAAACAUGAUCAGAGAGGCUGAGGGAGCUCUUCCCUCCUGUGGAUAAGGUGGCAGAACGUUUUCACGUCCACAUUGUCACCCUUUGAACAAUUUAGUCUCUCCUUACCACCUUCCAAAAAUACACUUGAAUUCCCAUCCCAGUGUAAAGAGUCACACAAAAUUUCAUAUAUGACAAUAAGUCAACAAGACAACAGGUGACCUUUAUCCAGGUAUAAAACAUUCAGUGAUGUGAAUAAAUGCAAAUCAAAUUUGUUAUUUUUGUAGAAACCUGAAGGAGACUGACGCUACAGAGAAUAUUCUUUUGGAGAAUACCAACUUGGAAAAGUGCUCUCCCGAGGUUUGCAUUUUAAAAUCCUCGUGUACUUGAACAUGAAUGCAUCUAGUAUACAAAGAAGCCACUAGUAGUUAGUAUCACAAUUACACAGACGUCCUACUCACUCAGGUUGGCUUUUUUUUUCUUUUUUCUUUCUUUCUUUCUUUCUUUUUUUUGGUUGUCAGUGGGCCUUGUAUUUUACUUAUUUCUAUGUGGCGCUGAGGAUUGAACCCAGGGCCUAGCACAUGCUAGGCGAGCACUCCACUGCUGAGCCACAACCCCAGCCCUCAGUUUAACUUUUAAAGUGAAUUUAGAAUCCAUAGUCUAAGGUGACAAUAAUCUCAGGUCUGCUGCAUGGGUUAGCAGUCCUAGCGAAAAACAAAAGAGAGACUUCAAUCUCUUACGCAUUUAGGAAAGACUGUUAGUGAUCAGAAAUAGACUUAGUGAAAGCAAACAGAUGACAGGUCUUCAAAGGGCGGUGUGGCCCUUCCAUGAUAGAUGCUAUACAUAAAAGAGAGCACUUAUUGGUUAUCUUGCAGGUAAACUCAUAUAGACAUUCAUUUAGCAAACUUUUGCAUAACAUCUAGACAAAGCUUAUACAAAACUAGUUUUCAGAUGUAGACAUCUAAUUACAAAUAUUUAGGGUGUCAACUAUAUUGUUAUAGCUUAAAUAACAGUUCUUCUUUUAACCAGUUAAGAAACCAUUUAAAAGGUUUAAAAACAAGUAGAACCCUAAUUCCUUUAAGAUUAGUUUCUCUGCUAGGUGUGGUCACACACACCUGUAAUCCCAGUGGCUUGGGAGGCUGAGGCAGGAGGAUGGCAAGUUCAAAGCCAGCCUCACCAAUGUUGUGAGGCCGUAGGCAAUGUAACGAAUGAGACCUUGUCUCAAAAUAAAAAAUAAAAAGGGAUGGAGAUUUGGUCAAUGGUUAAGUGCCCCCGGGACCAAAAAACAAAACAAAACAAAAAACCAGACUUAGCUCCCUAAGUAUAAGACCUAACAGACGCAAGAAAAUUAUCUUAUUUUUUUUUUUUCUUUUUCUUACCAGGGGUUGAACCCGGGGACGCCGACUCUCCCUUGGUUGUCUCUCAACCAGUUUAGCAGCACCUCACACCCUCAGCACAGAAGUGGGGUUGCUUGGAAAGCCAGGCCUGCCCAAGGGAGCUGGAGAGACGGUUACUCCUGGGUCCCACCUAGGGUGCCAGAUUAGUUCCCAAAAGCUCAGUUCUUGUCCCUGAUGCCAAUACAAUAAUGAGGACACUGCAUUUAGAAAAAGGAAAAAGAAGCUUUAUUGCUUUGCUAAUGGAGGAGAAGUACAGGGACUCCUGUCCCAGAGGCUGUGAUUCUGCCAGUCAAGGGUGGGGGGUUAAAGAGGUGACUCAAAGGCUACAUUCCACUGUUCUGUGGGGGAUGGUAAUUCACAUGUUAAUUUAGGAGAUGAUCAUUUCUGAGAUCUGGCGCCAACCUAGUAUCUGAAUUGCUUCCUUUGUCUGGUGUGUGCUGAAGGACAGAUAACUCUGCCCAGGAUGGGGAAGAAAGGUAACCCUGUUUAACCCAAGAUUAGGGAGAGACGGAGAUAGAGAGGAGAUGAUAGAGGAAGAGAAAGAAUAUGUCUAUCUAAGAAUAAGUCGCAGAACCAACCUGGGUGCCCUUCAACAGAUGAAUGAAUAAAGAAAAUGUGGUACAUAUACACAAUGGAAUAUUACUCAGCCUUAAAGAAGAAUG